rnacentral:rRNA from 1 species
AUUGAACGCUGGCGGCAUGCCUUACACAUGCAAGUCGAACGGCAGCACGGGAGCAAUCCUGGUGGCGAGUGGCGAACGGGUGAGUAGUACAUCGGAACGUGCCUAGUAGUGGGGGAUAGCCCGGCGAAAGCCGGAUUAAUACCGCAUACGACCUGAGGGUGAAAGCGGGGGAUCGCAAGACCUCGCGCUACCAGAGCGGGCGGUGCCAGAUUAGGUAGUUGGUGGGGUAAAAGCCUACCAAGCCGACGAUCUGUAGCUGGUCUGAGAGGACGACCAGCCACACUGGGACUGAGACACGGCCCAGACUCCUACGGGAGGCAGCAGUGGGGAAUUUUGGACAAUGGGCGCAAGCCUGAUCCAGCCAUGCCGCGUGCAGGAAGAAGGCCUUCGGGUUGUAAACUGCUUUUGUCAGGGAAGAAAAGUUCUGGGCUAAUACCCCGGAGCGAUGACGGUACCUGAAGAAUAAGCACCGGCUAACUACGUGCCAGCAGCCGCUGUAA